AUUGAACGCUGGCGGCAGGCUUAACACAUGCAAGUCGAGCGGUAGCACAGGGGAGCUUGCUCCCUGGGUGACGAGCGGUGGACGGGUGAGUAAUGUCUGGGAAACUGCCUGAUGGAGGGGGAUAACUACUGGAAACGGUAGCUAAUACCGCAUAACGUCGCAAGACCAAAGAGGGGGACCUUCGGGCCUCUUGCCAUCAGAUGUGCCCAGAUGGGAUUAGCUAGUAGGUGGGGUAAUGGCUCACCUAGGCGACGAUCCCUAGCUGGUCUGAGAGGAUGACCAGCCACACUGGAACUGAGACACGGUCCAGACUCCUACGGGAGGCAGCAGUGGGGAAUAUUGCACAAUGGGCGCAAGCCUGAUGCAGCCAUGCCGCGUGUGUGAAGAAGGCCUUCGGGUUGUAAAGCACUUUCAGCGAGGAGGAAGGUGGUGAGCUUAAUACGUUCAUCAAUUGACGUUACUCGCAGAAGAAGCACCGGCUAACUCCGUG
rnacentral:rRNA from 1 species